ensembl:snRNA U6 U6 spliceosomal RNA
GUACUCACUUCUGCAGCACAUAUACUAAAAUUAGAAUGACACAGAGAAGAUUAGCAUAGUCCCUGUGCAAGAAUGACACACAAAUUCAUGAAGAAUUUCAUAUUUUG